rnacentral:rRNA from 1 species
UACGGAGGGUGCAAGCGUUGUCCGGAUUCAUUGGGUUUAAAGGGUGCGCAGGCGGGAGAUUAAGUCAGGGGUGAAAUCCUGGAGCUCAACUCCAGAACUGCCCUUGAUACUGGCGGUCUCGAGUCCGGGAGAGGUGAGUGGAACUGCGAGUGUAGAGGUGAAAUUCGUAGAUAUUCGCAAGAACACCAGUGGCGAAGGCGGCUCACUGGCCCGGUACUGACGCUGAGGUGCGAAAGCGUGGGGAGCAAACAGG